GAGUUUGAUCAUGGCUCAGAACGUACGCUGGCGGCACGCCUUAUACAUGCAAGUCGAACGAAGUAGCAAUACUUAGUGGCAGACGGGUGAGUAACAUGUAGGUAUCUACCCUUUGGUGAGGAAUAACACGAGGAAACUUGUGCUAAUACCUCAUAAGUCUUUACGGAGAAAGCUUUAUGCGCCGAAGGAUGAGCCUGCACUUGAUUAGUUUGUUGGUGGGGUAAUGGCCUACCAAGACUUUGAUCUAUAGCUGAUCUGAGAGGAUGAUCAGC
rnacentral:rRNA from 1 species